rnacentral:misc_RNA from 1 species
GAAAUGCGAUACGUAAUGCGAAUUGCAGAAUUCAGUGAAUCAUCAAGUUUUUGAACGCAACUUGCGCUUCCGGGUUUUAACCCCGGGAGCACGCCUCUCUGAGUAUCGUUUAAUCUCAUCUCGACAGCGUGCUGUCGGAAAAUGAGCGUCUCGCUUUUCACAAAGUGAGUUGCUUGAAGAAUCGCGAGUUCGUGUUUUACUCGCUCAAUGUGACGUCAGAUAAUGAUGUCGCUCUAUCAAUCCUCGAAAGAGUUUUGACAGGCGAUCAUCUAUUUUAUUCUAACGUCACAGAGUCUUACACUGAACGGUCAAAGGAAACUUUAACGAGUUUCUCAAUCUAGAUCUCAGAUGAAGCGAGAGUACCCGCCGGAUUUAA